GCGUGAGAGUAACUGUUCACGUUUCGACGGUAUCUAACCAGAAAGCCACGGCUAACUACGUGCCAGCAGCCGCGGUAAUACGUAGGUGGCAAGCGUUAUCCGGAUUUAUUGGGCGUAAAGGGAACGCAGGCGGUCUUUAAGUCUGAUGUGAAAGCCUUCAGCUUAACCGGAGUAGUGCAUUGGAAACUGGGAGACUUGAGUGCAGAAGAGGAGAGUGGAACUCCCAUGUGUAGCGGUGAAAUAGCGUAGAUAUAUGGAAGAACACCAGUGGCGAAAGCGGCUCUCUGGUCUGUAACUGACGCUGAGGUUCGAAAGCGUGGGUAGCAAACAGGAUUAGAUACCCUGGUAG
rnacentral:rRNA from 1 species